CGUGUCGUAGCGUAGUGGAGCGCGUCUGUGUGUUGAUGCAUCAGGUCGUGGGUUCGAAUCCCAGGGGCGCUC
rnacentral:tRNA from 1 species